CCCCAAACUUAUGGGGCGUCGCCGGUGCCACGGAAUUAAGCCGUGGGUGCGAGAUAGUGAAAAUCCCCGGAG
rnacentral:sRNA from 12 species